CUACGGAGGGGGUUAGCGUUGUUCGGAAUUACUGGGCGUAAAGCGCACGUAGGCGGGUUGGAAAGUUGGGGGUGAAAUCCCAGGGCUCAACCCUGGAACUGCCUCCAAAACUAACAGUCUAGAGUUCGAGAGAGGUGAGUGGAAUUCCAAGUGUAGAGGUGAAAUUCGUAGAUAUUUGGAGGAACACCAGUGGCGAAGGCGGCUCACUGGCUCGAUACUGACGCUGAGGUGCGAAAGCGUGGGGAGCAAACAGGAUUAGAAACCCGAGUAGUCC
rnacentral:rRNA from 1 species